rnacentral:rRNA from 1 species
UACGUAGGUCCCGAGCGUUGUCCGGAUUUAUUGGGCGUAAAGCGAGCGCAGGUGGUUUAUUAAGUCUGGUGUAAAAGGCAGUGGCUCAACCAUUGUAUGCAUUGGAGACUGGUAGACUUGAGUGCAGGAGAGGAGAGUGGAAUUCUAUGUGUAGCGGUGAAAUGCGUAGAUAUAUGGAGGAACACCGGUGGCGAAAGCGGCUCUCUGGCCUGUAACUGACACUGAGGCUCGAAAGCGUGGGGAGCAAAUAGG